GAAACGUUGGGCUCAAAACAAAUAGGAUAGGUUUGGUUUUCAAAUCUCAUCUCUCAUAUUUGAUAUAAAAUUUGGGAUUUUGAUUCUUUGAUUUGAUGUAAGAUUUCUGAUUUUGAUCAUAGGCCACCGGAGUAGAAAGGAGAAGAGGAGAAAUCGAAGAUUUUGGUUGACUUUGGGAUGGAGGUUUGGGUUUUUUUUUGGAAGAAGUGCAUGCCAAGAUUUUGAUCGAGUUUGGGAGAGAGCUUUCAGCAAAAGUAGAGUUGUGCACACGAUAUCAACCUCCUCCAUAGUAGUGAGAGCGAAGAGUAGCGGGGCGUAGUAUUUCAGAAAUUCCCUGCUCCAAUUCUGCCUUAUCAGUUCACUCAAGAGAGUAGAUAAAGAUGCUCUGUCUCCACGAGCUUGAGAAGCUCACGAUUUCUACAUUGAUAAAGAGGAGGGCUUCAAUAUUCGUUUCCAGGUUGAAACUGAAUUUGAAGAACAAUGGGCAGAUGGUUAGGUGGAAGAAUGGUUAAAUAUGAUUCAAGACAUUGAACAUGUGCAAGAUCAGCAGACUGUUAUUGAUCUUUACUAUUUGAGCACAUUGGAAGAACUGGUGGAUUUGGUUCCU